CAACCUGAAUUUAUGCCCUGAAAUACA
rnacentral:piRNA from 1 species